GACGAACGCUGGCGGCGUGCUUAACACAUGCAAGUCGAACGGAAAGGCCCUGCUUGCAGGGUGCUCGAGUGGCCAACGGGUGAGUAACACGUGGGUGAUCUGCCCCCUACUUUGGGAUAGGCCUGGGCAACUGGGUCUAAUACUGGAUAGGACAUUGCUGUAGGUGGUGUGGUGGAAAGAUUAGUUUCGGUAGGGGAUGAGCUCGCGGCCUAUCAGCGUGUUGGUGGGGUAAUGGCCUACCAAGGCGUCGACGGGUAGCCGGCCAGAGAGGGAGGGCGGCCAGGUCGGGACUGAUACGGGGCGCAGAAGCCGGGGAGAGGCAGCAAUGGGGGAAAGUGUGCAAUAGGCACAAGGCUGAUGCGACGAAGGCGCGUGGGGGGUGACGGCCUUCUGGUGGGAAAGACCUUACGGCCAUGACGAAGCCCUUGUGGUGACGGUAGUGAAAGAAGAAGCACCGGCUAACUACGUG
rnacentral:rRNA from 1 species